GACGAACGCUGGCGGCGUGCUUAACACAUGCAAGUCGAACGGAAAGGCCCUGCUUUUGUGGGGUGCUCGAGUGGCGAACGGGUGAGUAACACGUGAGUAACCUGCCCUUGUCUUUGGGAUAACUUCAGGAAACUGGGCCUAAUACAGGAUCGGAGCUCCUGCUGCAUGGUGGGGGUUGGAACGUUUCGGCGGUAGGGGAUGGACUCGCGGCUUAUCAGCUUGUUGGUGGGGUAGUGGCUUACCAAGGCUUUGACGGGUAGCCGGCCUGAGAGGGGGACCGGCCACAUGGGGACUGAGAGACGGCCCAGACUCCAACGGUGGGCAGCAGUGGGGAAUAUGGCACAAUGGGCGGAAGCCUGAUGCGGCAACGCCGCGGGCGGGAAGACGUCCUGCGGGUAGUAAACCGCUUCCGCCUGUGACGAAGCGUGAGUGACGGUAAUGGGUAAAGAAGCACCGGCUAACUACGUG
rnacentral:rRNA from 1 species